UAUCCACUCAGGAGUGUAAUGGAACAGAAGGAGUUAAUUACGUUUUCAAGUCAUGGACAGACUCUAUAUCUUCAUUUUCUUAUCAUUGGGAGCAUUCUGAGCUCAGAAUUUUCCCAAUGCAAAAAAAAAAAAAAAGGCUCUGAAGAGCCGGACCUGGGAACCUGGCCAGUUUCCUGAUCCAAUUUUUGGUAAACACCUCAAGGAUGUUAAUUACAUGAUGAAGACGUGGACAGUGUCCUGACUUGACCCUUCUUUGUUUUAAAAAGUAUAAAAGAUUGUUUAGCAGAAGCCGAACUGAGCUACGGUGGUGACUUGGUCUGGACUUGCGAAAACCUGUGCUGCUUUACUCCCAGUGUUGAAGUUAGUGAGCGUCUCUAGACGCUCACGUGCCUACUGACUCUAUUGAACGUAUUUACAAUAAGAAGACUGACCAAUUAACUAAAAUUAGCUCUAAUACUUACACUGAAGAUCAUCCCAAGUGCGCAAAAUGGGUGCAAGAACACACUGGACACGCAGGAGCCAAAACUAUGUACAGGUGGGCGCAACAGAGAGGCAUAUACCUGCCAUUAGAUGUAUGUAAAACCAUCACAACACAGUGUCCAGUUUGUAACCAAGAACAGUUGCAAAAUGUCCCCCGUAUCGUCACAGGAGAAUUAACUCGAGGAAAACAAGCGGCACAAAUUUGGCAAAUAGAUUACAUAGGGCCGCUCCCCAUUUCUAAAAGGUGCGCUUACAUAUGCACUAUUGUAGAUACUUAUUCUGGUGUGCUUAUUAGAUGUCCCUAUAAACGGGCCACACAACAAAAUACUCUAAAAACCUUAGAUUAUAUUAUUUUAUAUUAUGGAGUGCCAUUACAAAUACAAAGCGACAACGGAUCUCAUUUUAAAGGUAAGUUAAUUACUGAUUUCUGUGCUCAAUAUAAUAUAGAAUGGAUUUAUCAUAUACCCUAUUACCCACAAGCAGCAGGCCUCAUUGAAAGGAUGAAUAGGUUAUUAAAAGAAAAACUACGGAAAUUAACCAAUCCAAUGUAUUCAGGAUGGAAAACCUUUUUAUUACCAGCCUUACAACAACUUAAUAAUAGACCCCUAACUAGUGGCCAAACCCCGUUGCAACGGAUGAUAUAUUCCUCUAAUACAGUUGAGAUCAGCUCCCAAAUAACACAUGAGCCUAUAACUAUCUCCUGGUAGAGAUUCCACCCAGAUGCAAUACAACCUGGGAAUGCUACUAGUACUGCUGCAGGUUAUGAUUUAUUUAACUACUCUGUAACUAAAUUAAAUAGCAAAACUCAACAUGUAAUACCCACUGGCAUAGGUUUACAGUUACCUUCAGGAUAUCAUGGACAAAUAGCUGCUCGAUCUAGUCUAGCACAAAAAGGAAUGACAAUCUUAAAGGGAAUAAUUGAUGCAGAUUAUUACGGUGAAAUCGAAGUGCUUUGUUAUAACCUUGGUGAAGAAGAUAUCAUCUUGCCUAAAGGCCACUGAAUAGCACAACUAUUAAUAAUUCCAGUUUUACAAAACACAGUAUGGGAAUCACAAAGGUUCCCUCCAAAAUCAGCUCAUUUAGGAUUUGGCAGUACUGAUGAAAAGAAACAAAUAUCAGGUCAUGUUUGGGUACAAACAUCUCCCCAUAAACCAUUACAAGCUGGAGAGAUAGUAGCACAAGAAGAAAUACCUGUGUAUAUGUCCUAAUUUCCCCCGCUGAUACUCCUAUAUUAGUACCUACUAAUCAUCUGUUUCAUCGUGUAUAGAUUUGUGUAUUUACAGGUAUUAUUGUCAGCACUCACGUCUGGAUUGCUUGGACCAUUUCCCCCAGACAAAUCUUGUCUCACCAAACUACUUCCAGCAAUGGACACAUGAUUCUACAGUAGGGAUGGGUCAACUCCACAAAAGUAAGAAGUCAAGACUCUUACAACUGUUCUGCUAAUCAAGUUUGUCACCAUACCAAUCUUACUAUUAGUGGAGAUACCAACACUACACUUACCUAUUGGAUGGGACAGAAACCUGCUCGAGGCAUAAUUUAUAGUGAUAAUAGUAUUACUAUUAAUGCCACUUCUAAAGUGAAUAUUUCCUGUUGUCAACAAGAUUUAACUACUAUUCUAUAUACUAACAUGUUUUCAAAAGCUAUUUAGAGAAACCAAUUGUCUUGUAAUGAAACCACUACAGUAUUUGCAUUUAAUACUAGUACAUAUCUAUGGUGUAUUAAUUCUAGUGCAAUCAACAAUAGAAAUAUAUGGGCACAACAUUUACAUGUAAUAAUUCAUAAAACCCCGACAUACAGUCAACCUACUAUUGUACAUAUACCUCAUGCUUGUACUAACACCACCUUUUUUGCACAGCAGUAUCAAUUACAAUUAAAUGUAACUUUCCCAAAAUUACAUCCCUGUGCUAGACGAAAACGGGAAUGGUAUAAUACAUUACUUGGCAGAGUAAGAACAGGUAUUAGACUUGCUAAAAGCUUUAAUUUAAAUAGCUUAUCAUACAAAUUAAAAAAAAUACUAGGAAAAAUGCCGAAUUAGCUACUAGCCUUACUGCUAAUUGGAUCCCUACUGUAAUAAGCCCAUUAACCUCUAAUCUUGCUUAUCAAAAGACAUUCUUAGAGAUAUUUAAUCGAACUAUAGUAUCUACUACUACUAAUAUUACUUACCUAUUUACUUCGAAUGUUCUCUUCAAUACUUAUUUAGUUACAUACAAAUACAAAAUCUACAACAGGAGUUACCAUUAAGAAAAGUACACUGGUCUGAAUUUUUAAUACUUUCCAAACAACGCCAUGCAGAUAUAUGGGUAGAAGAUCAUAAUCCCUUUUAUUGUACCACCACAUAUUGUUAUAAUAUAAUAACCUAUCAUAUACCCCAAAAUACUACUAUGCUAUGUCCCUAUCAUGUGCUGCCAAUUCCAUACCCUUAUUAUUAUUUGCAACCAGAAUUUUAUGGUACCCACAUUGACAAUAGAAAUAUAACAUAUAAAAUCAAUGAUUGUGCUGUAACUACAAAAGGAUUAGUAUGCACUGAUUUACAACAACAGAUGGAGCCAUGUCGAUUGCAUUUUUCUGUUAAUCAUUGUAUUUUUACCUUAUUACAAGUGAUUACACUGCCCUUUUUAAAGUCCAACCCAUACAUUAUGUAUUGUAUCCAAUCGAUCUGAAGUAUUGUCAUAUAUGCAAGUUGAUUUUCCAUUUGUUAGAUGCAUUUAUAAUAUCUCUAUCUUUCCCUGGCAUAAUUCUACUAUUUAUUUAACCCCAAUCAUUGACUAUGAAAAUAUCACUUUCACCCCAAUAAGCCUGCCCCAACAAAAGUUAGAAACCUAUUUAAAUCUAACUUCUAUAUUAUAUAAAAAUAAAGCUUUAAAUCGGACAUUACAGAACUGAAAUCGACAAUUAAGUGAAUAUAAACUACAAACCACCAUAGUAAGUCAUAAACUGCAGAACUAUUCCCAUGCUAUAGUGACAGAUAGUAAUUCUAACUAGUAGGAUUAGUUAUUUACAUACUCAUCAGUGACAUAUAGAUUCGUCCCACUGUUCAUGACUGUAUUCAUUUUAAUGAUUAUUACUAUAUGUAGUUGUUACUGUUCUUUGUACUUAUAUCAACGCAUUAAGAAUUUAAUGAUGCAUUUACUUACAACUAUUAUGUGUACAAUAAGUCCGCCCAUACCUAAGGCCGAAUUGUAAUAGAACAGAAGGAGUUAAUUACGUUUUCAAGUCAUGGACAGACUCUAUAUCUUCAUUUCCUUAUCAUUGGGAGCAUUCUGAGCUCAGAAUUUUCCCAAUGCAAAAAAAAAAAAAAAAGGCUCUGAAGAGCCGGACCUGGGAACCUGGCCAGUUCCCUGAUCUAAUUUUUAGUAAACACCUCAAGGAUGUUAAUUACCUGAAGAAGACGUGGACAGUGUCCUGACUUGACCCUUCUUUGUUUCAAAAAGUAUAAAAGAUUGUUUAGCAGAAGCCAAACUGAGCUUCGGUGGUGACUUGGUCUGGACUUGCGAAAACCCGUGCUGUUUUACUGCCGGUGUUGAAGUUAGUGAGCGUCUCUAGGUAUCCUUGUAAAUAAACUCUUUUUCUUUCCUUGUAAAUAAACUCAAUUUCUUUUCUCUAUA